CCCACUUAUGCAUCUCUCCAGCUACCUGAGUUUUUAAAAUAAAACUACUCAUCAGCUCAAGUGUUGCAGUCUUGCACCAAACUUUGUAUAGCUCACCAGUAAUCAUCCUCACAGCCUGUAACUCCAUGCAGGUCCUGGCUUCUACUAGACGCCCAUAGCCAGUAAUACACGGGCAAUUCCACACUGCUGGGAUAAUUUGCCUCAGCUCAAGGCUUCUUUUGGAAUACCACUACAAGGCACACAUUCCUGACUCAUUCCGGAGCUGAUGGCUAAACGGCAACGUGCCCGUGGAGGACUUCUGAUACCAGCAUUAAUAUUAACAAAG